GGGGCUGAAUAUAGCUUCGACGAAAGGACAUUAACAGGUUGUGUUGCAAGUCGAUUUACACACGCACGUGUCUUUUUAACUGCAAAUACAUUUGCAAAGCUCAAGGAGAUGGUUACACCAGCUCCACGAGCGCUUGCUUUCGCCUAAGUUGCGUUAGCCAUCGUUUCUUCUGAUUGAAGUAUAAGAAGAGCGGUGUUAUACCUAUACUUCUUAUCUGGAUUGAGUGCAGCUAGCUCAUCGAGAGAAAUUUUCUAGCGCGACUCCUGAACCCUGUUCGUUUGGCUUUGACGUUCAGUAGUCGUUAAUUAUCGAGCCAAACUAUGCUUGUAGACGCACGACAGGUUACCUUUUGGACCCGGGGGCAGUACCCGGCAGCUCCACCA
rnacentral:tmRNA from 1 species